UGGGGCGUGGACCGGUGUUCGUUCCUAUCCGGUGAUAGCGUAGCAUUGCUAGCAUUGCUGCCUGUCACCGGCUCUGGGUUCGUUCUGAGAUUAUACGGUUAAACUUGAUCUGGAUAAUACCAGCGAAAGGAUCAUGCCUUCCCUCGUU
rnacentral:ncRNA from 1 species